rnacentral:miRNA from 1 species
GGGUGACCAACUGUCCUGGUUUGCCUGGGACUAAGGAGUUUCUGGGCUAAACCCAGGCAAGUUCCAGGCAGACCAGGGCAAGUUG